rnacentral:rRNA from 1 species
UACGUAGGGGGCUAGCGUUGUCCGGAUUUAUUGGGCGUAAAGAGCGUGUAGGCGGCCAGGUAGGUCUGGUGUGAAAACUCGAGGCUUAACCUCGAGAUGUCAUCGGAAACCAUCUGACUAGAGUCCGGAAGAGGAGAGUGGAAUUCCUGGUGUAGCGGUGAAAUGCGCAGAUAUCAGGAAGAACACCAAUGGCGAAAGCAGCUCUCUGGGACGGUACUGACGCUGAGACGCGAAAGCGUGGGGAGCGAACAGG